GCGCGAGCACCUGGCGUGUGGAACGGACGAGGCCGUCCAGAGCCAGCACAGGAGCCGAGCGUGUUGUCCGCCCGCUGCCCGCCGCUAGGGGAGGGGAAGAAAAAAGGGACGGACCGACGGACCGGCCGGCUUAUCCCCUCCGGGGUUGAUCCUCACCGCCGGGUCCGAGCCCGUGCCCCGCCUCCAGCGAGCCCCACCUCCUCCGCGGGCCUGCGGCGGCGGCGGCGCUCCGCCCCUCGAGCCGGGAGGGCCGCGUUCACUGCCCCGCCCCGCCCCGCCCCCUCUCCUGCUCCGCUGCCGUGCUCGCCUCACGCCGGCGGCGCGGACUGGGAAGCGGCGCCCUCGGCUGCGCUCGGUUCGGAACCCGCUCUGUGGAGUCAGAGGCAGCGACGGGCGCCAGGCCGCCCGGGCCGGCGGAGGCGGCCG
rnacentral:lncRNA from 1 species